rnacentral:rRNA from 1 species
CAGCCGUAAACUAUGCGCGUUAGGUGUAUCGGUGACCACGAGUUACCGAGGUGCCGAAGGGAAACCGUGAAACGUGCCGCCUGGGAAGUACGGUCGCAAGGCUGAAACUUAAAGGAAUUGGCGGGGAGCACCACAACAGGUGGAGCCUGCGGUUUAAUUGGACUCAACGCCGGGAAGCUCACCGGAUAGGACAGCAGAAUGAUUGCCGGGCUGAAGACCCUGCAUGACUAGCUGAGAGGAGGUGCAUGGCGUCAGUGACU